rnacentral:rRNA from 1 species
UACGAAGGGGGCUAGCGUUGCUCGGAAUCACUGGGCGUAAAGCGCACGUAGGCGGAUCUUUAAGUCAGGGGUGAAAUCCCGGAGCUCAACUCCGGAACUGCCUUUGAUACUGAGGAUCUUGAGUUCGGGAGAGGUGAGUGGAACUGCGAGUGUAGAGGUGAAAUUCGUAGAUAUUCGCAAGAACACCAGUGGCGAAGGCGGCUCACUGGCCCGAUACUGACGCUGAGGUGCGAAAGCGUGGGGAGCAAACAGG